UUUAAAUGCUUACGUGUUAGUUCUGACCAGGCCGUGGAAAUGGGAAGGUGUGUCCGCCCAAUUUGUAAAAAUGAUAGACCUGUGUGGUCUCGAGUUUUACCUGUGUGGUUUACUGGGCCUGCGUUGUAUGCACAUUUAGUACGGGUGUUCGAAUGAUGUUCCUGUGUGGAAAGUGAGAACACAAUUUUGAGCAUUUCGACAGCGGUGACCAGCUGUGUGUGUUAUUGUAUGGCUCGAACAGGUGCUCGCAACAUGUAUAACAUGGUGUUCCGAGAUAUUUGAACAGCGUUGGAGAACGACCUAUAGAAAUACAGGAAAUACGUUCACGGCUACAGAAACGUUGAGCGAGUGAUGGACAAAGUGUCACCACGUGUCUGAAGACAGCCAACGACUAUUGUGUAAAGUGUGGUAACUCUUUAGUCAACGUAUUUUGUUUCGCCAUCCUGUGUAACAUAUUUCGAAUUCGAGAGACAAGUCUGCUGGUUUUCCUACAUAAGGCAACAUAACUUAACAUUUAGCUUUACUCGGGUACACGUGUAAUUGUCUGUAAAUUCAUAUUUUUUGUUUUGUUAUAUUUUUGUUUUGUUUUUGUGUGUAUGAGUGUUGUUGUGUGCAUGCGUGUGUAUGAGUGUAGAUGUUACUUGCUAUAUUAGUGAGCACAAUAAUAAACUUAUUUGCACAUACUCUUGAUCUUUCUUCAAAGAACGGUUUGCAGCGAGGGAUUAUUUCCAUGCCAUUUUCACAAAUUGUGACAAAGAAGCAGAAUCAAGAUCAGUGUUCCUGAAGCAGAGGAAGGUCACUCUGAAUUACUUAUAGACGGUUUGCUUCGUUUAUGCCAAAGGUUUCAGAAAAUAUUUUCAAACAA